GGUGAUUCGGUUGCCUGCUUCCGGUUGACUGAGGGCCGCUGCUGUGCCGGGAGCCGCUUUCAAGGACCUGGGCUCCUCCCGCAGGAGCCUGGAGGUUGGGACCAGGAUGCCUGUCUCCAUCAACACUGUGGUCCUUAACUAACGAGCGAGUGUCAGGAGUGAACACACAGAUGGGAAGAUUCAGCCGCGUCAACAAAUAGCAAGGUCUGUGGAGAAACCAGCUGCCAUGUCACAAGGACACUCAAGCGACCCUGGUGGGGAAGUCUACACGGCGAACAAAGUCCUCCCCCACCAAUAACCAUGUGAGGAAACCGUGACUCCGAGAGGUCAACGCUCCGGGAUGUCCUAGCAAAGCCACCGGCAAAGGCAGAGGAAACGGGAACGGGUAUGAUAGGUCGUGGCCAAGAAGCCUCAGCCAGAGCCUCACCAGGACCCGGUGCCUGCUCUUUGCGUAAAGAACGUUCCCUCCAAGCAGAAAGCGUGUCGCCCUCGCUAUCUCCGAGCUGGGCCCCUUGGGCGCCUUCCAAAUUCCUCCGGUCUCUCUCCCAUCUGUGGCAAGUUCCUGCCCUGUCUUCUCAUCUCUGCAAUCGCCGGGAAGGGGAGGAAGCCGUCCUUGGUUUGUGCCUCGGCCAGCCGCUUGCCAUCUGGACUCAGGCCGAUUAACCCCCGACCUCCAGCCAGCAGCCUUUCUGUCGCCUCCUUCCACGUGCCCAGGCGGGAGAAGGAGCUAAGAACCUCCUAGUCCCUCCCAGUCUAAAACGAAGAGUGGGACAGGUGGGCCUCCACCCCACGGUGCGCCCCGCUUGAAACGGCCCGUGCCUGCGGGUGCCUGGGUGGCUCGGU